rnacentral:misc_RNA from 1 species
GAUGAAGAACGUAGCGAAAUGCGAUAAGUAGUGUGAAUUGCAGAAUUCAGUGAAUCAUCGAAUCUUUGAACGCACAUUGCGCCCCUUGGUAUUCCAUGGGGCAUGCCUGUUCGAGCGUCAUUUGUACCUUCAAGCUUUGCUUGGUGUUGGGUGUUUGUCCUGAGGGACUCGCCUUAAAGUAAUUGGCAGCCAGUGUUUGGUUUUGAAGCGCAGCACAAGUCGCGAUUCAAGGCUAUACACCAGCUUCCACAAGCCUUUUUCACUUUUGACCUCGGAUCAGGUAGGGAUACCCGCUGAACUUAAGCACAUCAAUAAGCGGAGGA